rnacentral:rRNA from 1 species
AGUGAACGCUGGCGGUAGGCCUAACACAUGCAAGUCGAACGGCAGCACAGUAAGAGCUUGCUCUUACGGGUGGCGAGUGGCGGACGGGUGAGGAAUACAUCGGAAUCUACUUUUUCGUGGGGGAUAACGUAGGGAAACUUACGCUAAUACCGCAUACGACCUACGGGUGAAAGCAGGGGAUCUUCGGACCUUGCGCGAUUGAAUGAGCCGAUGUCGGAUUAGCUAGGUGGCGGGUUAAAGGCCCACCAAGGCGACGCUCGGUAGCUGGUCCGAGAGGAUGAUCCGCCACACUGGAACUGAGACACGUCCCCGACUCCUACGGGAGGCCGCAGUGGGGAAUAUUGGACAAUGGGGGCAAGCCUGAUCCAGCCAUACCGCGUGAGUGAAGAAGGACUUCUGGUUGUAAAGCCAUGUUGUUGGGAAAGUAAAGCAGCAGGUUAAUACCCCGCUGUUCUGACGGUACCCAAAGAAUAAGCACCGGCUAACUUCGUG